AUUGAACGCUGGCGGCAUGCCUUACACAUGCAAGUCGAACGGCAGCGCGGGAGCAAUCCUGGUGGCGAGUGGCGAACGGGUGAGUAAUAUAUCGGAACGUGCCCAGUAGUGGGGGAUAACUGCUCGAAAGAGCAGCUAAUACCGCAUACGACCUGAGGGUGAAAGGGGGGGAUCGCAAGACCUCUCGCUAUUGGAGCGGCCGAUAUCAGAUUUACUAGUUGGUGGGGUAAAGGCCUACCAAGGCAACGAUCUGUAGUUGGUCUGAGAGGACGACCAGCCACACUGGGACUGAGACACGGCCCAGACUCCUACGGGAGGCAGCAGUGGGGAAUUUUGGACAAUGGGCGCAAGCCUGAUCCAGCAAUGUCGCGUGCAGGAAGAAGGCCUUCGGGUUGUAAACUGCUUUUGUCAGGGAAGAAAUCCUCUAGGUUAAUACCCUUGGGGGGAUGACGGUACCUGAAGAAUAAGCACCGGCUAACUACGUGCCAGCCGCCGCGGUAAAAC
rnacentral:rRNA from 1 species